GUUGGCGCCUUGAGAGCCCUGGAGUAGGGGAGGUAAUGAAGACCCUGGCUUCUUCCAGUCUACACCUUCGGGAAGGGUUAAGGAGUCACCAGCUCGCCCCACUUCACCUCCGGCGGUGCUGGACAUGAGCUGGGCGCUAUAAUCUGCAGAACGUCCGGGACCGAAAAGGAUGGGGAACGCACCUGGAGCCAGGGCGAAGACAUCUAGAGAUGCAAAGGGAAUGGAAGAAAACCCGGAUCCGUAUUUGGCAGGUACCAGACCCCGCCCAAACUCCAAGACCCCGGCGUAGGGACAGCCAAACUCGCAGCGACAGGGGGACGGAACGGAACCCACCAAGGAGGGGAAGAAAGCCAGGAGAUCAGACGUUGCUGUCGUCGUAAUAGGCGAAUUCUCUAACAACACACGUGAUGUAGUGGAACUUCAAUCCGUUUCUAAACUCUCUUCCUUCCCACUUUCUCAGCGGGAAUCCCCUGAUGACCUCCACCCUCCCAUCCCAACUGCUGUUUGCUAGAGUUUUUCUUCCAUAACUGCUGCUCGGCCAGAUUGGAGUAUUUUCCCAGUUACAAGAACUUCUUAGUGAAAAAUAUAGACGUAAUUGUAGGGGAAAAAAAGCUUGUAAAUCUUUUGCAAAACUGUUACCGUCAAUGAUAAAAAUGCAAUUUUUUCUAGAUUCCAGAAUACAUUCAGCACCUCUUUCCCCUAUUAAAAAAAAAUCUUCCUAAUAUCCUUCCUGCUGGAAUUCAAACACAUUUUUCUCAACUUAUGUGCUCAAAAGUAAUACAAUCAGAUGUCCUUUCUAAAAUGUGAAUCUGAUCCUCUCACAAUCCUUACAAAGUCUCUAGGUCACCUAUAAUGUGCUUCCUGAUCUGGCUAAAUCUUUUUCAUUCUAAGUCUUCCUGGGCAGUUACCUUCCCUCAGUGCACACACCACACACACACCAACUUUACAUGACUAAGGUAUUUUAUCAGUAAGGUUCUCUAGAGAAAUGGAACAUAUGUACACACACACACACACACACACACACACACAUUUGCGUGUACGUGUGUGGGGUAACAGAUUUAUUUUAAGGAAUUGGCUCAGGAUGAUGGGGGCUGGAAGGUCCCUCUGAAAUCUACAGGGCAGCUCUGGCAGGCUGGAAACUCAAGCAAGAGUCGAUGCUUCAGUCUUAAGGCAGAAUUUCUCCUUUUCCAGGAAAUCUAAUUUUUGGCUCACAAUUGCUUGUGAUAUAGGCCCACCAGCAUUACCUAGAGCAAUCUCGUUUUGAAGUCUUACUGUAGAUGCUGAACACAUUUAUGAAACACCUUCACAGCAACACUUAGAUUUUAGAUUCGUGUUUGAUUAAAUAACUGAACACUGUAGCCUAGUCAAGUUGACACAUAAAACUAACCAUCACAGGUGUUACCCUGCAAAUCUCCAUGCUGCCCAGAAAUUUCCCUGGAAUCCUGGCCAGUCAGGUGUUUUACUAUUUGCUUCCCAGGUCAACUCGUCUUUCAUCUAUCUUUAUACUUGUCACAUGAUGUUUUGCUUCUUUAAACUAGAUUGUAUGCUCAGUGAGGGCAUAAACCAUAUCUCUCUGUUCACCAUAAUAUCUGCAGUAACUAGCAUCUGCUGCUAAAUACGUGUUUGAUAAACAUCUGAGUGAAAUCGUUAUUCCUACUAAAUAGCUGACAUUUUCUUAUAUUCACCUGGUCUCCCUCCAGGUAUUUGGAACCAGGGUAUACCCUACAUACAUGAGAAAUGAGAUGAAUUCACUAUAUUCUGAAUCAUUUUCUACCCUGUCUCAUAGGCUCUUUGUUCUCCAGAUGAAAUUUCCUCAAAUUUUUUUGAAUAUUAUUUUCAUUUUUCCCAUUUUGUUCGCAAUUCGAUUAUUCUUUUUCAUUCCCCCCUCCGAGUUUUCUGCAAAUUUAACCGCAUCUUGCCCAGCACUAGUCCUCUGUCAAACUGGCUAAUGCUUACUAGACUGGGAGAUUAAUAGUUUGAAUAUGCCUGUUUAAUAAAUUAAAUAUGUUUUGA